UAGAGCCUUAGGUUUGGAAAGAAGUGA
rnacentral:piRNA from 2 species